rnacentral:misc_RNA from 1 species
CAAUAAACCUGAUAGAACGGAAAGCCCGGAGCGAAGUAUGAGUGAGGACUUGGAGGGAUAGCAGGACUACAG